CACGCACAGGCAGAAGAGAAAGAAUGAGACACCACCAGAAGUUAGCAAGCUGGAUCCUCCUUGCUUUUGCAUCCAGAAGUGCCUGGAACCUCCCAAGCAGAGUACAGGAGGAUGCUGGCCCGCGGUGUGCCACCGACAACUUUCAGCACCACGGACGGCGCCUAUCCCACGUGGGCUCCCGGGCGCUCUCCCCGACCCCAGAUCCCCGAGGAGUCAGAUCGCGGCUGGCCCUUGCCCAACUCCAGUCAGAGACUGCCCCCGCCACCCUUCCCAGAGCGGGUUCAAGAACAACUCAAUGAACCUGAGCUUCGCACAGGCUUGUCACGGGUCUCCGGGGACAGAUGCCCAGGCAGCGCACCAGCCUCACCGGCCGCCAGGCUCAGCAGGAGUCAGUCCCUUUGAAGAGUUUGCUCUCAGCCACAGUCCUUCUCUGCCAGGUCCAGAU
rnacentral:lncRNA from 1 species